CCUACGGGUGGCAGCAGUGAGGAAUAUUGGUCAAUGGGCGCGAGCCUGAACCAGCCAAGCCGCGUGAGGGAAGACGGUUCUAUGGAUUGUAAACCUCUUUUGUCGGGGAGCAAAAGACGCCACGCGUGGCGUUCCGAGAGUACCCGAAGAAAAAGCAUCGGCUAACCCGGUGCCAGCAGCCGCGGUAAUACGGGGGAGGCGAGCGUUAUCCGGGUUUAUUGGGUUAAAAGGGUGCGCAGGCGGAAGAUCAAGUUAGCGGUAAAAUUGAGAGGCUCAACCUCUUCGAGCCGUUGAAACUGGUUUUCUUGAGUGAGGGAGAAGUAUGCGGAAUGCGUGGUGUAGCGGUGAAAUGCAGAGAUAUCACGCAGAACUCCGAUUGUGAAGGCAGCAUACCGGCGCUCAACUGACGCUCAUGCACGAAAGUGUGGGUAUCGAACAGGAUUAGAUACCCCUAUAGUC
rnacentral:rRNA from 1 species